rnacentral:lncRNA from 1 species
GCUCAUCUAUGCCAUUAUUAAACUAACGGCACAAAAAAAUUUAAAUUUUUUUAACACUAACAUUUUCACGUGUAAUGUCUUCAUUGGUCCGAAUUAAUUCAUGUCCCACUUAAUUUUAACCUCGGUUAGAUCGAUUAUCCCAAAUCCCACCCGAUUAAGCUUUUACCCAAAUAAUUACCUCAAUCCAAAACCAAACCUAAAAGUUCCAAAUCCCCGUCUUCG